CGCAUCAUUACCGAGUCCUUGGUUGAAAGGAAAAGCAACUGACUCAGCUAACGCAGAGGUUUUAAAAGUAGGCUUAUUUUGAAGGGCCCUGGAACUCAUGAAAGAGCCAUUGAAUGCAGCCUCGUGGGAGCUGAGGACGGGAAUUGACCAGAUCCCUUCAUUUAUUCACAGUUCCUGCUCUCCUGUCGUCCUGGCUGUUUCUCCUCGGUCAUAAACCAGCUCCAGGCCUGAUGUGGCAUGACUGAUAGGCUUCUGCGGCUUAGCUGGACUCUCGCAGAACUGGCUCCACAUCCGGUCAGAGGACCUGGAGAAAAGGCUCAGAGACUAAGGGCACUUGCUGCUCUCCCAGACGACAUGACUUCUCUUCCCAGCACCCACAUCAGGGGAGCUCACAACUGCCUGUAAUUCUAGCUACAUGAGAUCUGACCCCCUCUCUGCUGGCCUCUCGGGGCAUCUGCACAGGCACACACAUAUAUACAGAUAAAGAAAAAUAAAAUAAUUUUUUUUUAAAAAAUGAAGAGGAGAGGUGGUCUCUCGGGGCUGCCUGAGAAGUUACUAAUGAAAGAAGAUGAACACACUCACUGGAGAAUAAACCUCCAGAAAUCAAAGGAGAAAAAGGCUUCAAGCUGAAACUGAAGCAGAGCCACUAUGGUGUGGAUAUAGAGUGCCCCCCAAAAAAGCUGAAUGGCACUGAAUGGUCCCCAGCUAGCAGUGUUAUUGGGAAAUUCUGGAAAUAUCAAGAGGUAGAACACCCUCAUUGGGAGCAUAUCCUUGGGAGUCUGUGUCUUGUCCUGGGUCUCUUCCUGCCUCCCUUCUGACCACCAUGAGACAACCACUCUGUUUCUUUGUGUGUGUGUGU